rnacentral:misc_RNA from 1 species
AACGCACAUUGCGCCCUCUGGUAUUCCGGGGGGCAUGCCUGUUCGAGCGUCAUUACAACCCUCACGCCUGGCGUGGUAUUGGGCUCGCCCUGUAGGGCCUGCCUCAAAGUCAGUGGCGGCACCGUUUGACCCCUAAGCGUAGUAAUACUCGUCGCUUCUGGUGUCCGGCGGAGGCCUGCCAGCAACCCCCAAAUUUUUUAAAGGUUGACCUCGAAUCAGGUAGGGAUACCCGCUGAACUUAA